UGUCUUCGUAGGUGAACCUGCGUAGGGAUCAUUUUUGUGAGCGUUUUAUCCGAGGUUAAUAACUAAGGAUAUUUGUGCUCUAGCCAAAUUUUAUUUGGCUUUUGUGCGCCUUAAAAAAGCGCCAAGCUGUUUUUUUUGUCUCUUCAAGUCUUCAUAAUGGAUGACUUGGCUCUUGUAUCGAUGAAGAACGCAGUGAAAGGCGAAACGUAAUGUGAAUCGCAACUAACAGUGAAUCAUCGAAUCUUUGAACGCAGGCCGCACCUUGUAAUAUCACUCUGUGAUAUUACAAGGUAUCUACGUAUGAGUGUCAGCCCAAUAUCAUUUUGGUUCAAGAAGAUGAUUAAAUUUUUUUUUCUCGGAUUCUUGAAUACAUAUCUAUAACAUGUACUUAACAUAUUUUUAAUAUGUCUGGCCUCAUAUGUGGAAGGUUACCCGCUGGAUUUAAGCAUAUCAGUAAGCGG
rnacentral:rRNA from 1 species